UACAAAAAUUAGGAUGGUGGCCAUGGAAGUUGGAAUCCACUAAGGAGUGUGUAGCAACCCACCUGCUGAA
rnacentral:ncRNA from 1 species